CAUGAGUGGUGUUUGGUUUGUUACGGGUGGUUGGCUCUUUGCUUGCGCAACAACUUCCACCUUGCAUACCUCUUCAGUUUUGCAUUAAUGCUUGUAUUGCAUUGAAUGUAAGUUGGGUUUCAUGUGUUGCAUACCAAAUUGAUGGUAUCGUUUGAUGAAUUGAUGUUCCUUUUUCGUUUUGUGUCGCACAUGCGAUAUGAGAUGAACCUUGAAGCAGUUUUUGUGAUCCACUCUGUCGAUGCACAUACAUUGAUUUUGUGGCCCAUUAAAUAUUGCUCGGUCUCAUGGAUAUGGAACCUGGUGUAGGCAUUGGAUCUAGCGAUCCUUGUUUUGCCUUAUUUAAGCUUCUCUAAUACGAUGGACGAUCACGAGAGCUUGUCUCUGUGUGGUAGUCUAUUCGAAGAUGAAUGCUACCUGGUUGAUCCUGCCAGUAGUCAUAUGCUUGUCUCAAAGAUUAAGCCAUGA
rnacentral:misc_RNA from 1 species